rnacentral:tRNA from 1 species
GAGGGCAUAGCUCAGUGGCAGAGUGUGUGCUUAGCAUGCACAAGGUCCUGGGUUCAAUCCCCAGUACCUCUG